UGCAAGUCGAACGCGCAGCGAAAGGUGCUUGCACCUUUCAAGCGAGUGGCGAACGGGUGAGUAACACGUGGAUAACCUGCCUCAAGGCUGGGGAUAACAUUUGGAAACAGAUGCUAAUACCGAAUAAAACUUAGUAUCGCAUGAUACAAAGUUGAAAGGCGCUACGGCGUCACCUAGAGAUGGAUCCGCGGUGCAUUAGUUAGUUGGUGGGGUAAAGGCCUACCAAGACAAUGAUGCAUAGCCGAGUUGAGAGACUGAUCGGCCACAUUGGGACUGAGACACGGCCCAGACUCCUACGGGAGGCAGCAGUGGGGAAUCUUCCACAAUGGGCGAAAGCCUGAUGGAGCAACGCCGCGUGUGUGAUGAAGGCUUUAGGGUCGUAAAGCACUGUUGUAUGGGAAGAAAUGCUAGAAUAGGGAAUGAUUUUAGUUCGACGGUACCAUACCAGAAAGGGACGGCUAAAUAC
rnacentral:rRNA from 1 species